GUCCACGCCUUAAACGUUGAAUACUCGAUGUGUGCGAUAUACUGUACGCGUCUAAGCGAAAGUGAUAAGUAUUCCACCUGGGGAGUACGCUCGCAAGGGUGAAACUCAAAGGAAUUGACGGGGCCGCACAAGCGGAGGAGCAUGUGGUUUAAUUCGAUGAUACGCGAGGAACCUUACCUGGGCUUGAAAGUUAGUGCCCGAUUGUGAAAGCAGUCUUUCCGCAAGGACACGAAACUAGGUGCUGCAUGGCUGUCGU
rnacentral:rRNA from 1 species